UCCCGGGUUUUAGUGGGGUGGUGUGGGUUGCAUCCUGGGUGUUAGUGGACUGGUGUGGGUCACAUCCUGGGUGUUAGUGGACUGGUGUAGGUCACAUCCUGGGUGUUAGUGGAAUGGUGUGGGUCACAUCCUGGGUGUUAGUGGACUGGUGUGGGUCACAUCCUGGGUGUUAGUGCACUGAUGUGGGUCACAUCCUGGGUGUUAGUGGACUGGUGUGGGUCACAUCCUGGGUGUUAGUGGACUGGUGUAGGUCACAUUCUGGGUGUUAGUGGAAUGGUGUGGGUCACAUCCUGGGUGUUAGUGGACUGGUGUGGGUCACAUCCUGGGUGUUAGUGGACUGGUGUGGGUUGCAUCCUGGGUGUUAGUGGACUGGUGUGGGUUGCAUCCUGGGUGUUAUGGACUGGUGUAGGUCGCAUCCUGGGUGUUUGUGGACUGGUGUGGGUCGUAUCCUGGGUGUUAGUGGACUGGUGUGGGUCGCAUCCUGGGUGUUAGUGGACUGGUGUGGGUCACAUCCUGGGUGUUAGGGGACUGGUGUGGGUCACAUCCUGGGUGGACUGGUGUGGGUUGCAUCCUGGG